rnacentral:rRNA from 2 species
GCUAUUCAUGCAAGUCGAGCGGACAGAUGGGAGCUUGCUCGUUGAUGUUAGCGUAGGACGGGUGAGUAACACGUGGGUAACCUGCCUGUAAGACUCGGAUAACUCCGGGAAACCGCUGCUAAUACCGGAUGCUUGAUUGAACCGCAUGGUACAAUUAUAAAAGGUGGCGUUUAGCUACCACUAGUAGAUGGACCCGCGGCGCAUUAGCUCUUUGGUGAUGUAACGUCUCACCAAGGCAACGAUGCGUAGCCGACCUGAGAGGGUGAUCGGCCACACUGGGACUGAGACACGGCCCAGACUCCUACGGGAGGCAGCAGUAGGGAAUCUUCCGCAAUGGACGAAAGUCUGACGGAGCAACGCCGCGUGAGUGAUGAAGGUUUUCGGAUCGUAAAACUCUGUUGUUAGGGAAGAACAAGUACCGUUCGAAUAGGGCGGUACCUUGACGGUACCUAACCAGAAAGCUACGA